AGUCUUGUCGAAACAAGUACAGGUAACCAUUAUUUGAUUGUUUCAUAUAUGCUGCAAGUUAAUGCAAUGAAAGAGUAGCAUUGAUAUGCUGAGUAGGUCAAUUUAAUUAAUGAGUGAUUUGAUUGAUCACUUCCAUCAUCAAGGUUUAGGUAAACAAAAUGAGGAUUCAUUUUGUUGACUUUAGUAAACAUGUGCACCAUAUAUGGGCUUACCUCUUUCUUAGGGAAAUAGAGGCUGACCUUACUAACAUUCUUCCAAUAAUAGGGAGAUGGGCUGCUUCACACUGCUUGCGGAACUCCAAAUUAUGUUGCCCCGGAGGUUCUCAAAGACAAAGGC
rnacentral:misc_RNA from 1 species